rnacentral:rRNA from 1 species
AUGAACGCUGGCGGCGUGCCUAAUACAUGCAAGUCGAGCGCACAGACGAGGAGCUUGCUCCUCUGACGUUAGCGGCGGACGGGUGAGUAACACGUGGAUAACCUACCUAUAAGACUGGGAUAACUUCGGGAAACCGGAGCUAAUACCGGAUAAUAUAUUGAACCGCAUGGUUCAAUAGUGAAAGACGGUUUUGCUGCCACUUAUAGAUGGAUCCGCGCCGCAUUAGCUAGUUGGUAAGGUAACGGCUUACCAAGGCAACGAUGCGUAGCCGACCUGAGAGGGUGAUCGGCCACACUGGAACUGAGACACGGUCCAGACUCCUACGGGAGGCAGCAGUAGGGAAUCUUCCGCAAUGGGCGAAAGCCUGACGGAGCAACGCCGCGUGAGUGAUGAAGGUCUUCGGAUCGUAAAACUCUGUUAUUAGGGAAGAACAAAUGUGUAAGUAACUAUGCACGUCUUGACGGUACCUAAUCAGAAAGCCACGGCUAACUACGU